AUGUCCCGACUUAACUACGGGAUUAUCUCCUUGAUCCCUAAGGUGCCGGGAGCGGCGGACAUUAGACAAUUCCGUCCUAUCACAGUCCUUAAUGUGAUCUUUCGGAUCCUCGCUAAAGGGUACGCCAAUAGGGCGGCCCUUGUCGCUCCCCGGAUUCAUCAUCCGAACCAGUCGGCCUUCACGAAAGGGAGAUUUAUCUUAGAUGGGAUCCUUGUCCUUCAUGAGAUCAUCCAUGAGGUUAAGAGCAAACACCUUCGUGCAGUCUUCUUCAAGAUCGACUUCCAUAAAGCCUAUGAUACGGUGCACUGGUCCUUCCUUCGGGAAGUGCUGCUGAAGCGUGGCUUUGACCCCCACUGGGUUGCACGGGUCAUGCAAUUAGUUAUGAGUGGCCGGACGGCGGUUAACAUCAAUGGGGAGGUUGGCCCAUACUUCUUGACUGGCCAAGGGGUCCGACAGGGCGAUCCGAUCUCCCCAUUUCUUUUCAACCUUGUGGUUGAUGUGCUCGCCACGAUUCUGGACUUGGCCAAGCGUGCGGGUCACAUUAGGGGGAUUUGCCCUCAUCUGGUGACUCCUGGGGGUCUAACCCACCUCCAGUACGCGGACGACACCAUUAUGAUGGUCGAGGGAUCGGAUGAG
rnacentral:rRNA from 1 species